GCUACGGGCGGCAGCAGUGGGGAAUAUUGGGCAAUGGAGGCAACUCUGACCCAGCAAUGCCGCGUGAGUGAUGCAGGUAAUUUUAUUGUAAACCUCUUUUGCCGGGGAGCAAGGGCCGGGACGCGUCCCGGCCCGGAGAGUACCCGGAGAAAAAGCAUCGGCUAACUCCGUGCCAGCAGCCGCGGUAAUACGGAGGAUGCGAGCGUUAUCCGGAUUUAUUGGGUUUAAAGGGUGCGUAGGCGGGCUUUUAAGUCAGCGGUAAAAAUUAGGGGCUCAACCCCGUCCGGCCGUUGAAACUGGGGGCCUUGAGUGGGCGAGAAGAAGGCGGAAUGCGUGGUGUAGCGGUGAAAUGCAUAGAUAUCACGCAGAACCCCGAUUGCGAAGGCAGCCUUCCGGCGCCCUACUGACGCUGAGGCACGAAAGUGCGGGGAUCGAACAGGAUUAGAUACCCUUGUAGUC
rnacentral:rRNA from 1 species